UUAAUUUUGUGUGUUUGUUUUGCAAUUGUUAACCUGCUCUAGCACAGCAUUUGCUUUUUGUAGGUCGCCUGCAGGAAAUUCCACUGACCAAUCCAGAAUGCAACAUUUUUCUUGCUGUGGGCGUCAACUGGCAUCUAAAUUUGGCCGAACAGUGACCAAUCAGCAAUGGAAAUCUCAAAAUACAACUCCUUUCCAGAAGUCUUAACAGAUUGUGAAUCAAAAUAUUCAUCAUACAAGUGAAAUCUGGACAUUUACUGAUAUUACAAUAAGCACAGGUAAUUAUGCCCUGGAGACUGGACGUCUCUCUGCUGAGCAGUGGAGGAUGUCUGUUUUAAGCGCUAUGAGUGGGUGUUCGGUGCGCAGCUUCUUGUUUUGCAUAUCCUGUGAGGUUGGAAGACCCAUAAUUCUGCAUUUCAAAAUAAGAGAUUGCCUGACCCUGCAAAUAAUCAAUCAACACCGAUCAAUUAUUCUCCAGGCCCAGAGAGACAGAAUCAGCAGAGAUGGAAGUAGAUCAAAAUCGUAUGAAAAUAAAUCAUGUUUUUCUCUAACAACUAUGCUGCAAGAAGCAUUUCUAAUAUACAUCAAUGCUGUUUUACGUUCAUAUAAACAGUCAACAAAGCUAUAUGAAACGUUGUAAGUUAUAAUAUGGAUGCCGUACACGUUCUCCUUUCUGCCCUUUGGAUCCUGGUGGUCCUUCUGCCCCUUUAAGACCAGGAUCCCCCUGCAGAUGCACAGUUUAUGCAAAGAGCCUAUGAGGAACCCACUGGAAAUGCAUCCAGAGGUGAUGUGCAAAAGCAUAAUAAAGUCAUUGUGUGAUGCUGUGAUACUGAAACAUUAUUUGACCUUUUCACCCCUGGGCCCCGUGGCACCCGGUAGCCCUGUCUCACCCUGUAGGAUGGGAAAAAUUGAGAGUGAUAGCAAAAGAGACCGACAUUUUGAAAGAUAGAGGUCAGAAAUAAAAGUGUGUAAAUAAUGAAUGCAUUACAAAACAGAACUGAAUGCAUUACAAAAGAGAGUUCAGAUUAAAAAAUUGAUAUCCAGCC
rnacentral:lncRNA from 1 species